GAUGGCAUACCAUUUGAAAAAGUAGACAACCCAAGGUAUUGAAAGUGGGGUAUGUUUAGUCUUUUUUAGUAGCCACUUAGUCACAAACACUGGCCAAAGUUAGCGUUCAUAUUUGUUUUUGUGUGAAAAAGCAAAAAACUAAUAUUUGGCCAGUGUUUGUGACUAAGUGGCUACUAAGAAAGACUGGACAUACCCCACUUGCAAUACCUUGGGUUGUCUACUUUUGCAAAUGGUAUGCCAUC
rnacentral:miRNA from 1 species